CCGGCAGCAGAGCCGCGCUGGGAGCGCCUCCCACCAGCAUUUAUGGGGUGGGAAGCUGAGGUGGUGCCCGGGCUUUGCGUCUGGCGCCCGGCCGAGUCCUUCAUGGAGUGCAGAUGGGCAGAGAGGGGGCAGGAGGCGGCGCACCCCGAGGGCAGGUGGCUCCGGGCACUGGCAUCGGGCUCGGGGACGCACUUGGGGUGAGCAGCUGGUGGAGAGGGCGGGCGGUGCUUGGCUUGGGUGCUGGCGUGCGCCCGAGGCCAAGGGUGAACUGCCGCAGUGAGUAGAGGGGCCACCAGACGGGCCGUGGGUGGCCGGGAUGAAGGCAGGUUGCAGGAGGAGCGGGCACCCUCAGGCUGUAGGUGGCCCUGGGUGCGCUGUGGGGACCAGCGUGCCACAGCCUCGUUUGUGCAGACACCCUGGGAGGCAGGGUCCGCUCCUCUGCUCCCACAGGGCCUCGCUGUCACUUCAAGCCAGACCCCAGAGGUGCCACCAGUGGCCGUCAGCUGUGGAGCCACCCCUGUCCCCUGUGGGGCUUGCACCCCCCACCAGCCCCGGGCUCCACCUCCAGCAUCAGGUGCACCAACCCUCAGUGGCCUUUGACACCUUCCCCAGAGUCAGGGGUGUCCUGGGGGCCGGCCCCAGAGAGACGCAGAGAACUGCACCUUCCCGUUCUCAAGGAGCUGGGGGUCGGCCCCGGCAGAGGGAGCUGUGCCCUGGGGGGCUUCCUGGAGGAGGUGACAUUGUGCUAAGAGCUGACAGGAUGCUCGGCAGAACACCCAGGGGACAGUACCCCAGGUCACACGGCAAGGGCCCCAGGACCACAAGGACCUGCCCCCAUCUAGAAGCAGCAGAUGGCCCAAGUGGCAGGACAGAGGGAUGGCAAGAAAGGAGAAGGGACCAAUCAGGCCAGACAGUCACUGCAGGCUCCUCGUACUGCAGGGCCCAGGGCGGACCCCCAGGCUCAGAAGGGCCCAUCUGCUGGGCAGGGGACAAUGGGAAGGGAGCUGCAGACCAGGCCGAGGGCAGUAGAGAAGGAAGGUGUGACAGACCCCAGGCCUCCGGUGAGUGUCACCAGAACCACCUUCUGAAGAAGCACCCUAAGGAUGGACAGGGAGGGGGUCAGGGGAGAUUUGCAGUCUGCAGCCUGAUUCUCACCAAGUUGGAGGAGUUUUGGAGACACAGACCCGCCAUGAGAGGUCGUGAAAGUCAAGGUCACCACGUUCAGGUCCCCAGACGGAGCCAGGCUUCCUCCCAGAGCAGACCAGCCCCGCUCAGGGGACGAGAGCAAGAUCCAGAGAUGCUGCGGCCUCACCCACAGUGUCCCAUGCCCAAUCGACAAUCACCGGACACACACACCAAGAGACAAGAAAAUGUGACUCAAGGUCAAGGUGGACAGGGAAAAACGGCAACAGAAGCCAGCGCUUAUCAACGUGUCCCAAACGUCACAGAAAAACAAGCGGAAGAAUUAAUGGAAAAUAUGGUCUUCAUUAGGGAACAGACAGGACACACGCAGAGAUGGGAGUCCCGCAGAGAACCAGGUGGGGAUUCAGAACAGGGAAGAAGGGCGGAAAUGAGGGAUGCCGUGGCUGGGACCCUGUGCUCCGUCUGAAGGGCUCCUGUGCCCGUAGGGUGCCCUUAGGAGAUCCACCGAGGGACAGUAACGCACGGAGUGGGAAAUGUGGGUCUGAAAUCAGGAAGAAGCUGGGAGAGGAGGGUCACCCAGUGCCUCACUCCGUCAGGAGGAGGACCAGCCAGCCACCCAAGCAGCAGAGCAGUCCAGGGGCCCUUCGGGGAAGUCCCUGUGGCCAGCACCCCUCCUGGCCACCUCUCAGAGGGCUCUGUGCCUCACGCUGAGCCUCCGCCAAGCUUGGCCCUCGGGAUCCCCACUCAUCACCCCACCUCAAGGAGCAGAGGGCGUGGCAUGCUCCCUGCUUUGGUGAAAUCGCUGUGGGUUCGGCUCCUUGCUGGGCACCAGGAAGACAAGUCCUCCCACCGCCUCACUCUCGAGAAGGUGCCUGUGGUCUUGCAUGACGUUGGGACCAGCCCCCACGGACGCUCUCUGCCCCUGGGCUCUGGAAUCUGAGAAGAG
rnacentral:lncRNA from 1 species